rnacentral:rRNA from 1 species
GCAUAAUCAUUAGUUUUUUAAUUGGAAGCUGGAAUGAAAGAUAGGAACUAAAGAGAUAAGUUUUUUUUAAUUAGUUUGAAUUUAAAUUUAAGGUAAAAAUGCUUUAAUAACACCUCGGGACGAGAAGACCCUAGAAGCUAGUAGAGUGGUAAGACUUUUUGAUUGGGGCAAUAAUUAAAGAGAUGAAUUUUUGAUUUUAAAUUUAUAAAAAAAAUAAAGUUACUUUAGGGAUAACAGCGUUAUUUAGUUAGUGAGUUCUUAUUAAUAAUUAAGAUUGCGACCUCGAUGUUGAAUUAAAG